GCUCUAGAUCUCACCGGAAAUCAGCGGCGAAAGCGGGUGGGAGUUGUAGUCCUAGGAUGAGCCGAUGCUCCUAUUGGCUGUCCUGAAGGCUCCCAGGCGUUUGGAUGGGGCGCGGAUGAGCGGAAUCCCUGCUGGGAGCCGCGGGGCACAGGAACAGGGUGUCAGUGCCAGGAUAGGAAGCUGGUGACAGUGAAGUUCCUUUUGUUGUCAUAGUCCCCACUUGAAGUAGCCACAGAGAUCCCGGCAAAAGCCAGCAAAGGAAGAAGAACCUGCUUGGCUACACAAUGAGGGAAGGUUGUUCCCCUCUUCCCAAUUCUGUAUCUUCUCAUCCAACCACCUCCUUGGAAGAGCCCAGGCCAUCCACUUCUGCUAUGGCACUAGAGGAACUGGAUAGUCCCAGACGUCAUGGUAAGACAGGAUUUCAAAACCUCUGCCACCGGGGGCCAUCAGACAGGCCAUGUGCCAAAUGCCUUAGAGAUGUAUGCUUUGCCCAUUUUGCCUCUGUCUAAUGCAAAGCUCCCUCUUGACCCAGUU